rnacentral:rRNA from 1 species
AACGAACGCUGGCGGCGCGUCUUAAACAUGCAAGUCGAACGAUCUGUAGCAAUACAGGGAGUGGCGGACGGGUGAGGAACACGUAGGAAUCUACCUUGAAGAGCGGGACAACUUUGGGAAACCGGGGCUAAUACCGCAUAGUACAGAGAUGUUAAAGGGCUAGCAAUAGUCGCUUCGAGAUGAGCCUGCGGUCUAUCAGCUUGUUGGUGGGGUAAUGGCUCACCAAGGCUACGACGGAUAGCCGGUCUGAGAGGAUGAUCGGCCACACUGGCACUGAGACACGGGCCAGACUCCUACGGGAGGCAGCAGUGGGGAAUUUUUCGCAAUGGGCGCAAGCCUGACGAAGCAACGCCGCGUGGAGGAUGAAGGUCUUCGGAUUGUAAACUCCUGUCGACCGGGACGAAUGCACUCGACCUAAUACGUCGGAAUGUUGACGGUACCGGUGGAGGAAGCCACGGCUAACUCUGUGCCAGCAGCCGCGGUAAU